AAGGCUAAAUUAUAUUAAAACGUAACAAGAAUUAAUCCUCCAAAAGGUUCCAUCAAAACUCUAGAUAAUAAAUUAUCUACUCAUAAUAGUAUGUAAAAUUACAGUACUAAAAGUCUUAACCAACACUAAAAAAUAGGAAGAAGAAGGGGAAAAACUCGUUGAAUCUUCCUCCUUGCUGCUUACAUAUUCUCGCCUCCUUGGGUGUUUUCUUACCCUAAAGUAGUAUCGCCCCCCUCAAAAAGACGUUUUAUGAUGUAUUUAUAUCAAUUAGGAUUUGUAUGGAGCGGCCUUGAACUCUUCUAUUUCGAGAAGGAGAAGUUGAGUCACGUACUGGAGGUUGGUGCAAUGCCCGACCCCUAGGCAAGCUCCCAACUUUUUUUCUUCUUUGUUUCUUUUCCGUGAUGGGGGUUGGUGCCAAAGUGCCAUACUUGUUUUGAUUCACUUCCUAGGCCAUUUUGCGCCUACCAUUCAUGCAAUGCAUCAAUUAUGGCACUCUCCCAGCUCUUACCUCUCAACUUCUUUUUGCAUUAAAUCAUCCGAUUUUCGCCAAAUUUUAUCCAAACUCAUUCCUACAUACAAUAAACAAAUAAUGAGCAUAUUUCACAUUUAUAAGCACGUGAUCUCCCGCAAUUCACAUAAAAAAUAAUAUGCAAACAUACUAAAAAAUAUGCACUUUUAUCAUUUAUCAAGAAACAAAAUAAAUAGUAAAUAAUAAAAUCUUGAAAGAAUGAGUGGAUAAUAACCUAACAAAAUGCCCAACCCAUUAGUUAAAUUACUAUUUAUUCAUUCUUCCCUUCACCUUAGAAGAUAGAGAUUCCAUCUCCAUAUGUAAUGUUCUCACUUUUAGCCAAAGGAAUCAUUCAAUGUAUAAAUUAAUAUAUUCACUCAAAAGCUCAAGCAUUUCCAGUGUAACUUGAAAAAACUAAAAAUAUUGAAAGAAUGAAUACUAAUUUAACUAAUACUCAACCCAUUACAGAGAUUAACCAACACAAAAAUCAAGUUCUUUGAUUUGUUUGAAAAAACAUGGCAUAAAAUAUGACAAUAUGAUAUUUAACAAUAAUGACAAUAAUACAGGAGUGAGUAGAAUUAGAUUCUCUCUAUGAAAUUUUCAAUCGUUCAAACACUUCAAACGCGGCCUUAUUUUGAAAAAAAUUGUCAUUAUUUUGGUAAUUCCGUUAUUAAUAGAAAAAGAAAUAGAAUAAUUAAUUUAAUGGAGCCAAGAAAAUUUGGAGCCGUUACUCAUCGCUAUCAUAAAAUACAUCAAUUUUAGUGUAAGCCACAUUUAUUGCCUAAUAACUUUUUACUAAGACCGUACUUAUCGUUAUUGAAAAGAAAACUAUUUUUAUGCAUUGAUGCCCAAACCAAGAAAUGGAUGAUUAAAAAGUUUUUUUUUUUUUUUUUUUUUUUUAAAAAAAGAAGGAAUUCUUUCAGUACGUAUACUCUUCGGGAGAAAAAUUCCACAGUUUAUGGAUGGAAAGUUCUCUUAAAAAGAGUCUUGAUACAAUGUUGGACAUAAAAAUUUCUGGAAGGGAUUGAAAAAAGUGCUUUACUGUGUUUGGGUUCUGAGCCACUCAUACAUACUCCCUCCGGUUCAAAAUAAGUUAUUUUUUGGCCUUUUUCUUGUGGUCCAAAAUAAGUGAUUUUUCUAGAUUUCAAGAAUGAAUUAAUUAUUUUUUUCCUACAUUGUCCUUGGAGUAAAUAGUGUUGGAAUAUGUGUUAGGAGUGUUUAUGUGAGAUAGUAAAGGUUAAUAUGGUCAAUUCCAUUGCUAAUUAAUGCUAAAAAGUGAAUUUCUUAAUCUGUGUGAAACAUCCAAAAAAUCACUUAUUUUGGACCGGAGGAAAUAUAUAUUUAAAGAUUACCAAUAUUUUGUUUCGUCACUUACAAGUUAGAGCUUCCCCCAGUUCGAGAAUCCAUCAACUACCCCGACGCACUUAGAUACACCUCAACAAAUUCUCUAGGACCAACCUAUAAACAAACUUUGCACGCUGACCACAUCCCCACACUCUCCAAUGAACUCAAUCUUUGUCACCUCGAUCUAUCCGAUAAAUUCCCAAUUGACCCAUCCCAGGACAAUUUCAUCCCACUCACAGUAGCAGAUAAAUCGAGACUACACUCUCCUUGGCAAUACAAAAAGUCUUUGGGCGAAAUAUUAGCCAUUUAACCCUACAGCAAAAGCUCACAACGUUAUGGAACCCCACAGAAAAAUUAUCUCUUAUAGAUUUGGGUAAUGACUUCUUCCUUAUUAAAUUCCAAAAGGAAGAAAACAUAACUAAUAGCCUGUUUGGCCAAAAAUUGAGAUGUUUGGCCAAACUUUUGAAAGGAAAAAAGUGUUUUUGAGGAGAAGCAGAAACAGUUUUGGAGAAGCAGAAAAAAAUAGCUUCUCUCCAAAAGCACUUUUCUGAGAAGCAUUUUUGAGAAAAAUACACUUAGAAACAGUUUUCAAAAGCUUGGCCAAACACUAAUUACUGCUCAAAAGUGUUUUUCUAAUUAAUUAGUCAAUCACAAACUACUUCUCACCAAAAUCACUUUUUUAAAAGCACUUUUUUUAAAAGUACUUUUGAGAAAAGUACUUCUCAAAAUAAGCUGAUUUUAGAAGCUUGGCCAAACGGGCUAUAAAGCUUUGCAUGAGGGACCAUGGUUUGUCCUAAGCCACAUCUUAUCUGUGCGCAAAUGGGAAACUAAGUUCAUUGCAUAUAAUAAUCAACUUACCUACUCAGCCAUAUGAAGUCGUCUUCCUGAGUUGCCCACUGAGUUCUACGAUUUUGAAGUCCUUAGCAAAGUAGGUAGUAAAAUCGGCAAACUACUUAAGGUGGAUGCUUGUACCUCAUUAAACACUGGGGCUGUUAUGCAAGAAUUUAUGUUGAAGUACCUAUUGAACAACCUCAUACUUCCCAUGUAUAUAUUGGC
rnacentral:lncRNA from 1 species